ACAUUUCCAUGCAGUUCAAGCCAGAACAAAUAACUUUUAAAUGUGCUAUCUUAACCAAGGGACCCCCUUGAAGGCAAAGAGAGCAUCACAACACAUCUCACCAGGACAAAAGCUAUUCAACUUUUGAUGGGAAUAUGAGGACGAAACCGGAAAUCACGCGAGGAGAGCGAGACAACUUUUAAAAUGUUGUUCCAGUAAAUGUGCAUGACAUUAUCAGCUCUGCAUGGACCGUCGGUAUGUAUUUCUUGAGGUAAUCCAGGUUCAGUUGGAACUUUGCAUGGUGAGGAAAGCACCAAUCCUGUGGAUACAGCCUACUCCAUUGACUUUAGAUUGAAUCAGGACAGGAAGUGCUGCUACAUUUAAAAGAUUUUUCGAAUUUACCCCGGGAUUACUCCGUUGGGUUGAACAAAUUGAUGCAGACCAAUGCAAUCCGAAGAAUUGGGAAAUUAAGCUAAACUGGUCCGAAAAUGUCUAAGCAACUUGCUUGUCAGAACUGUGACGUGAAGUUUAACACCAUUCGCAGCUUGAAGCUACAUGUCAGCGGAAUAAAACAUCGAAAGAAAGUGGCAGAGCUGUUCCAGUCAGAUGAGUACCAUGGCCGAGUCUACGUCCCAUUCAUCUUGGUUCUGGGACAUUUGACCAAACAACCCAUGAGCACCCCACAGCCUAUUGUUGGUCUGUGCCUGGUCACAAUUUGUUUGAGUUCAGAGAGGAGUGAUGCGUUCUACCUGUGUCAUGUGUGUGAGGAGAACUGUGGCCAAGGAAAUAUCAUAGACCAUCUGACUUCUGCCGACCAUCUCUCCAACUACUACAACUACACAGACCCGGAUUUGUUGAGUUUCUCCUGGUUGACUGGCUCGAACAAUUCGAAUCAUCUACAGGUGCUCGCUGCCAAAGAUCUGGACCGGAAUGGACCCGGGGUGCUGCGGAUGCUGGACAUGCCUAAGAGUAUGGUUUUGGAUUUGAAGAAGAUUGGCUACUCUAAAGUGAUGCAGGCUCUAACUCAGUCUGAGAGGCUGGAGAAGUGCGUCAGAGCUGGUAGACCGGAGAGGAGGACAAUACAAGAUUACCACAGAGACUCCAGAAGGAAGCAUCCUCUGCUGGGUUUACAGCACCUGGUGGAGUACUGCUGUGAGGGGUGUGACCAGAAGAAAUCCUACCUGUGCCAACUGUGUCAACUCUACAUCCCAUUACAUAGAGUCAUCAAACACACACUGAGCUUUGACCAUAUCUACUGGUACUUUAAAGCGUGGCAUCCCUCCACCCUCCUGACGAAGGACUGUUAUAAGGCCUACAGCGACCGGUUCAAGUCCAUCAUGCUGGACCUGGCCAAUCAGGCACAAGACAUCAGCCGGUCCGCCAAUAACGAGAUACAGCGUGUUGUGUUGGAACCAGAAGUGUUCGCCUCCGUGCCGUCUGUCUAUAGAGAAGCCCUGAGGAAGUUGGAGACCAUUAGAGAGGAGCGUAAUGAGGGCUGUUUGAAGACCAGCGUGACUCCUGGAGACAAAUUGGUUCCUUUUUUAAACAGGUCAAAGGUUAUCAAAGAUACCACAAGAACUGUUGCCGAGGCUGUUGAUUUGGAGGAAGAGUUGAGCCCAGAGAUGUCCUCCAUUCCUCGAGCUGUUGAAAAGCCUAGAGAAGCUACAGCUGCUCCAGGUUUGACCGCAGCUAGUGGCCAAAAAGGUGUUUGCCGUUUGCUCUGUCAGAAUUGCAACGAGGUAUAUGCUUUGGUGUCGCUCUUCAAGUUACAUGUACGCAGCUGGAAACAUCAGAUGAUGCUGGGUGACGGGCCAGGCCACCUACCAUCCUUUACUUUGUACGAGUACAUGCGGAACCCAGGGCGAACUGAACCAAUUAUUGGUGUCCAUCUGAUCUCGACGUGUCUGAAUUCAGAGUGUGUGGACAUACCGGUGUGCCUGUGUCACAUCUGUCAUGAGUGUUUCACGGCAAUUUCUAUCUUGUCUCACCUCACCUCUGCUUCCCACCUCCAACAGACCCUGAUGUACCAGAGUCCAGAGCGUCUGCCGUUUGGCUGGAAACCAGAAAUUGACCGGAAGGUCUUGAACACCCUGGCCUGGGAAGAGGAGACCGACAGAGGAGAGAAGGACAUGAUCCUGAAGGUGUUCUUUUGUCCUGACAUUGUUUUCUCCAACAUUAAGACAUUGCACUACCUCACUGCCAUUAAGUGUCUCAAAGACUUUCAUGGUUAUUAUUUUGUUGACAAACCACUGACAAUUUGGACCCAUCUGAAAAACACAAAAAGGACAUUUCCUCUGCUGGGUUUGCAGUUCCUGGUUCAAUACAGCAUUACAAGGCCCAGGGACUCGUUUCCAAGAUGGGGGUACCUGUGUCUUCUGUGUGAGGAGAAGUUGUCAGACAGGCUCAGCGUGGCUCACAUGCACAGCAACACUCAUGUCACUAUGUUCCUGAAACGUGCACAUCCCGGUUCUCUGGAAGAGGUGAAGUGGCAUGAUGAAAGGAGGAGUGAAGUAUUGCUCGACCUGGCACAACAGGCUGAGACAAUACACACUCCCAGCCGUGUACAGGUCAUAAAAUUGGAACGCUGCAUUGCUGAAUCAGUCAUGUACACAAAAGCCCUGGCGAUCCUGAAGUCAGUCAAUAAGAGAGGAUUCAGACUGCAGAUUCCUCUGCUACCACGUGGGAAAAAACUGGUGCCCUUCGGGGGAAUACAAGACCAAAGCCGGACCACAGAACCUGUUCCUGUACGUCUGUAUGUUGGAGAGGAUAAUGAGACCAGGAACAAAAAUGACAAUGAGAUAAAGAACUACAAAGAGACCACCCCAGAUACUGUAAACAUGACUCACAAGACUGGGAUGGAGGUGGAAAAACAAAUUGGCAAAAAACCCUGCACUGACUCCGGUAGAAAGACUGGAGAAGAACCCUGCUGUGGGCCCGGUCCAAAGGCUGGCAAAGAACCCUGCAGCAGCCCCGGGGCAAAGACGGGCAAAGAACCCUGCAGCGGCCCCGGGGCAAAGACGGGCAAAGAACCCUGCAGCGGCCCCGGGGCAAAGACGGGCAAAGAACCCUGCAGCGGCCCCGGGGCAAAGGCGGGCAAAGAACCCUGCAGCGGCCCCGGGGCAAAGGCGGGCAAAGAACCCUGCAGCGGCCCCGGUCCAAAGGCGGGCAAGGAACCCUGCAGCGGCCCCGGGGCAAAGACGGGCAAAGAACCCUGCAGCGGCCCCGGGGCAAAGACGGGCAAAGAACCCUGCAGCGGCCCCGGGGCAAAGACGGGCAAAGAACCCUGCAGCGGCCCCGGGGCAAAGACGGGCAAAGAACCCUGCAGCGGCCCCGGGGCAAAGACGGGCAAAGAACCCUGCAGCGGCCCCGGGGCAAAGACGGGCAAAGAACCCUGCAGCGGCCCCGGGGCAAAGACGGGCAAAGAACCCUGCAGCGGCCCCGGGGCAAAGACGGGCAAAGAACCCUGCAGCGGCCCCGGGGCAAAGACGGGCAAAGAACCCUGCAGCGGCCCCGGGGCAAAGACGGGCAAAGAACCCUGCAGCGGCCCCGGGGCAAAGACGGGCAAAGAACCCUAUAUUGAUCCCUGUCCAAAGAUUGACGACGAACCCUGCAGCGACCCCGGGGCAAAGUCCGGCAAAGAACCCUGCAGCGACCCCGGGGCAAAGGCGGGUAAAGAACCCUGCAGCGACCCCGGGGCAAAGGCGGGUAAAGAACCCUGCAGCGACCCCGGGGCAAAGGCGGGUAAAGAACCCUGCAGCGACCCCGGGGCAGAGUCCGGUAAAGAACCCUGCAGCGACCCCGGGGCAGAGUCCGGUAAAGAACCCUGCAGCGACCCCGGGGCAGAGUCCGGUAAAGAACCCUGCAGCGACCCCGGGGCAGAGUCCGGUAAAGAACCCUGCAGCGACCCCGGGGCAGAGUCCGGCAAAGAACCCUGCAGCGACCCCGGGGAAAAGACGGGUAAAGAACCCUGCAGCGACCCCGGGGCAAAGAAUGAGACUCCACAACCCAGCAAUCCUAUAUACACUCCACUGAUUGAUUUUCUGAGGAGCAAGAACCGACAGGCAGUCGGUCUUAAAGCACUCAUAGAGUGUCAUUGUGAUGGGCUGCCGCUCUUCUACCUGUGCCAGGUGUGUAAGUGUAAAGUCCUGCAGAACUCGAUUAUCUCCCAUGUCACUGGAGACAAUCACCGACAAUUAUCCCUGUGGCCUAUGAAUACUAUUCCCAAACGCCACAGGAGGUUGAGGGCAGCUGCCUUAAAGCUGGAGAAGACCUUGGGAUAUGGAGAAUUUAAGGUAGCAGUGUUGAAUGCGCGAACAUAUCAUUCUAUUUCUACUAAUUCCAUUCCCUUCGACAUGAAGGUAAAGAUGGUCUUGUGUGAUCACUAUUCAAGUGACCCCCGAUAUUUCGUCAUGCCUCUAGCUAAGAAGCCUAAGCCCAAGCUGAAGAAAAACAGUAAUGUCAAAACUCUGGCCCUAGACUGCAAUGACGUGUGUUCUCCCGCAGCACCCGCUGGGAGAUUCCCUGCUCUGUGGCGCUACCUGCAGCAGUCCAACAGACAGCCUGUCAUUGGUGUUGGUAUGUUGACAGAGUUGACCGAACGAGAUGGUGACUACGUCCUGUGUGGAUGCUGUUCUCACAAGAUGUUUCCAUCCUCUGUCACCUCACACGUCAUCUCUUCCAGACACCGCUACUACUACAUAAGAAUGGCACAUCCUGAGCUGGCUGUUAAUUGGCCAGAAAGUCCAGCGCUGAUUGUGUAUAAUGGGCCUCUUCAAAGAGAGCUGAGAGUGCAAGCUAAAGAACUGGAGGGUCAGGAAGGACCUGAACAUCCCCAGGUGGUGAAAGAAACAUCUGCUACAUCGGGAGGUGGACCCACAACCUGCCCAGAAGAGGUUGUCGAACAGAUCCAGAUUCACUCCGCUCCUGUCUCUGUGGAAGAGGAACCGGUUAACUCAGAGCCAUCACAGCCCCUCGGAGAAAAGAAAAAGACGAGGAAUAGGGGCAAUCCUGUGGUUGGAGUGAACUUCCUGGUCCGGGUGUCUCACAGAAAUAGGAAACAAUACUACUGUCAGCUGUGCUCCGUUAGGGUGAAGCAUCCCGUUAUUGAUCACAUGACCAGCCUCCGCCAUCGACACAGCUAUGUGAAAUUGAAGUACCCCAGUUGGACCUCCGACUCAGAGGCAAAGCUGUUCAAGAUGGCUUUUCACCUGGAGAAGGUGGAUCGAAGCGCUGGACUGGGCAUGCAGAAAGUAGAAGUGGAUGCUGUUGAAUUCAAGGAUCUAAGGUCUUGCCCUGUGGAGGAAGCUCUCAGUAAACUGCAGGCCAUUAUCAUACAGCAACAAGAGCCAGGUGAUCUGAAGAUGCAUCCCUCAACCAAUCAGAACCCAGAAGAUCUGAGACAGACUGCUCCCUCAUUGAGACCUGUCAGUGCCCAAGGGCCAUCUAACGGAGACCAGGAACACCUACAAGUACCUGCCUCCUCUCUCCAGGAUCAGCCGUCCUUUGGCUCCACAUCUGUCCCCCUCUCAUCCUCCAGUCCUCCUUGCCUCUCUCCCUCAAACUCCUUCUCUGCCUCUCUCCCCGCAGUGUCCCUAUCUGCCUCAACCUCCCUUUCUUCCUUUGUUCCAUCCUACACUCCCGUUUUGUCCACUGAGAAGACGACUGACCCCUCAUCAGAUGUUGUCUCUGUCCCCGAUCCUGUCUGUGAUCCUGUCUCUGUCCCUUCACCCCUCUCCGCUCUAAAGAACCCAACACAUCUGAAGGACUGCGAGAGUCCAGAGUGGUGGGAGAGGAGGAGCCCAGAAAACAGAGAGACACUAAUGCUUCUGGAACUCCCAGACAAACAGACGGAGUACGCGGCGGGAGACCGGCUGACGGAGUACGCGGCGGGAGACCGGCUGACGGAGUACGCGGCGGGAGACCGGCUGACGGAGUACGCGGCGGGAGACCGGCUGACGGAGUACGCGGCGGGAGACCGGCUGACGGAGUACGCGGCGGGAGACCGGCUGACGGAGUACGCGGCGGGAGACCGGCUGACGGAGUACGCGGCGGGAGACCGGCUGACGGAGUACGCGGCGGGAGACCGGCUGACGGAGUACGCGGCGGGAGACCGGCUGACGGAGUACGCGGCGGGAGACCGGCUGACGGAGUACGCGGCGGGAGACCGGCUGACGGAGUACGCGGCGGGAGACCGGCUGACGGAGUACGCGGCGGGAGACCGGCUGACGGAGUACGCGGCGGGAGACCGGCUGACGGAGUACGCGGCGGGAGACCGGCUGACGGAGUACGCGGCGGGGUGGACGCAGGCGGAAUACCCGGCGGGGUGGACCCAGGCGGAAUACCCGGCGAGGUGGACCCAGGCGGAAUACCCGGCGAGGUGGACCCAGGCGGAAUACCCGGCGAGGUGGACCCAGGCGGAAUACCCGGCGAGAGAGAGACUGGCGGAAUACCAGGCCACUCCUUGGGAAGGCUUACAUCAGUUUACAGAGCACAUGGGGACAGGAAAGGUGACCGACCAAGAACAGACACGUCAGGUUGGAACCUCACAGCUGGAGCCUUCGCCGUUAAGAUGGCUCAGUGUUCCCCAGGUGUUUCUGCACCCGGACACUCCGGCAGCUAAGAGAAUUGCCGGACCGAGCCAUCUGUCCAAGUACCUUAAAGUGAAGGGCCUUCACGACACCGAGCCUAUUAUAGGUCUUGGUAGUGUGUUGGAGUGUCGAGGUAUAUCUCAAGCUACAUUCUUCAUGUGCGUGACCUGUGCUGAGACUUUCUCCAGCACGCACAUCUGUGAACACAUCAUCAGUGCACGGCACCAGCAGUACUACAUGAUUGCCCAGUAUGGUGGUGUCCUCUACGAGUGGCUGAGGGAACUACAGCUGCCCCCGAGUCCACACCUCCUCAGGGAGUUCGCCUGGAGACUGUCACAACUGGAGGUGGAGAUCGACGCACAGGUGAUGCUGCUGGACCCCAUGUGGUAUAAACAUGUGCAGUCAGCUCCGUUUUACCGAGCCAUGCAAUUGCUGCAGGAACAGAACCAGAGCGCCUUGGUUAUGCACACUGCAACCAGACAACAGCUUUCUCUCCCAGCUGAUCCUGACCUGGAAACGGAGCAGGGCUUUGACCAGAGAUACAGGAAAAUGAAUGAACUAACCAUGGAUCAAACUGCGCCUGGUCAUUCCCUGUGGACAUCAGAUACAGGGACUGUUAAACAGCCUGAAGACCUGUUUGAGUCAGUCCAGAGCCUGCAGACGGCAGAAGAAUGGACCAAUACUCUGAACCCAGAUCUGCCUCAGAUCAGCCAAAGAUCAGAAAGGGAAGAGCAUUUUGUGCCAGUCGGAGCCCAGGCACCCCGGAACUCUGAGCCAGUCGGAGCCCAGGCACCCCGGAACUCUGAGCCAGUCGGAGCCCAGGCACCCCGGAACUCUGAGCCAGUCGGAGCCCAGGCACCCCGGAACUCUGAGCCAGUCGGAGCCCAGGCACCCCGGAACUCUGAGCCAGUCGGAGCCCAGGCACCCCGGAACUCUGAGCCAAUGUCAACACAGAACCAUGAACCAGUCGGAGCCCAGACACCCCGGAACUCUGAGCCAAUGUCAACACAGAACCAUGAACCAGUCGGAGCCCAGACACCCCGGAACUCUGAGCCAAUGUCAACACCGACACACCAGAGCUCAGAGCCAGUCGGAGCCCAGGCCCUCCAGAACUAUGAGCCAGUCGGGGCCCAGGCCCUCCAGAACUAUGAGCCAGUCGGGGCCCAGGCCCUCCAGAACUAUGAGCCAGUCGGGGCCCAGGCCCUCCAGAACUAUGAGCCAGUCGGGGCCCAGGCCCUCCAGAACUAUGAGCCAGUCGGGGCCCAGGCCCUCCAGAACUAUGAGCCAGUCGGGGCCCAGGCCCUCCAGAACUAUGAGCCAGUCGGGGCCCAGGCCCUCCAGAACUAUGAGCCAGUCGGGGCCCAGGCCCUCCAGAACUAUGAGCCAGUCGGGGCCCAGGCCCUCCAGAACUAUGAGCCAGUCGGGGCCCAGGCCCUCCAGAACUCUGAGCCAGUCGGGGCCCAGGCCCUCCAGAACUCUGAGCCAGUCGGGGCCCAGGCCCUCCAGAACUCUGAGCCAAUAAGUACCAGAACUCCACAGAAAACAAAAUCAACCAAAACAGAGACACCAGUGACUUCCUCAGAACCACAUCUGAACCAACACAACACAGUCAUUAUCAAACAGGAGCUUGCGGACCCCGAGGUGGAACCCCAGACCCAGCCUGAGGUGGAUUCUGUACACCGGCCUGAGGUCCAACUGGCUCCUGCAUGUUUGGGAUCCCUGUAUGAAGGUAGAUUUCCCAUUCUCCCAGGACACAGCCAGAGGUUGACAUGUAGAGGAGGUGUUCCUCCCAAAAGCACCAAAGACCUCAACACCUACAUCAAGGAGAAACUGACUCAAGCUGUGGUCGGUCUCAGUGCGUUGAUAGAGUGCUGCUGUGAGGGCCUGGUGUCCUUCUACCUGUGUGUGUCGUGCGGUGGUCGACUGUCUUGUAACAGCCGACAGAACACGUCUGUCCUCAUCAACCACGUCCUCAAAUACAGGCACCGACUCAACUAUCUGACUGUUCGAUAUCCGUGGUAUUUCCAUGGUCUGGUACCUGGCCAGAAUCCGGCAGAAGAGUCCAGACUUCUGAUGCAGAUUGCUAAGGAGGUAGAGGAGCAGAACCAUGAUGAGCCUGGCAUGAUACAGGAGGUGCUCCUGAACCAGGCUGACUUUUUAGCGAUCAAAGGAAUGCUGUUUGAUAAAGCUGUGUCCCGUUUGAAGGAGAUCCGUUCAGAGCAGAACCAAACAGAACUUCUUACCAAGGUCACUAGCAAACUUGAACCAGUAGUGGUCAAGCAGGAGAUGGAGUGCCAGGUGGUGUCCCAUCAUGCCUUGGGGCAGUCUUCGUUGCCGCAGAGAUUGAAGCGCCAUUCUAGCAUCAAAGAGUCACCCGAGCAAGGGAAGAAACCGAAGGUGUCUAGUUCCCCUGAGUGUCAGGCCGUGAAAUCUGACCCUGCCUUUGACAGCUGUCCGUCGUCCUCUGAGGUCACUGAACCUUUUGACCCACCAUCAGGCAACCAGUCGUGCGCCGUCGAAACCUCAUCACUUGGCCACACUGACCCAGAACUGAAAAACACUCCUUCACAUACAGACUCUCAAUGUGAGCUGGAGGUCAGUCCACCCGGUAGCCCUGCUGACAAUCUGACUGUAUCCAAAAUGUUCUCAAGAAAGAAGCAGUCUCACUCGGUUUCCACCCGCGGCCACAAGCUCAGCAACAAACAUUUGGACAAGAAGGAUCCUGCUGACAGGGCUAAGGUCUCUCACGCACACAGCAAUGGCACACGCUCACACAGAGACCGCAGACACACUCACGCACACAGUCAUCACCAACACGCACGCAGUUGCAGUCGUACCAAACACACGCACAGUCUCAGUAAUGCCAAACACACUCGCGUGCGCACUGACCACGCAAGGACAGGCAAAGCCUGGCUCCGUGGCAGGACCCCAGAGAGACGCCGCAACAGAGAUCUUGCUGACCGACGUUCCGACCGCUCGCGCUCUCGUACCCCCCGCAGGAGACGUCGUUCUGUCCCCGGCUGCUCUCCGAAAGACCCGCCCACGGUUUGUCCCUUCAAGACCCACCAGGCCUCCACCUACUGCCUUUUCACUCACACCCCAUCCUAUCCCAGCAAAUCCACUUCGGCCCAGAGUCUGGCCCGGGAUGACCCCAGCCAACCGCCGUGCCCGUCUAAAGACCUGUCCAGCCAGUCCAGCCCGGCAGACAGGAGACCGUCCAAACCAACCACAGUGGUUAGGCCUCUCCAGGCCAAGGAGCAUCCACCAAACGACACCCCCGACAUGCCCCUCCACCCAGCGAGAACUGGACCCUGGACCCCACCGCCCCUGCCAGCCACCCCUACCCUCCUACCUCCCCCGCCCGAGCAAGAUCUCCUUUCUGCCUCUGGGAAUAAUAUGGCCUCCACUGUGGACGGUAUUAUGUUUAUUGGGGACUCUUCGCUGCGCUUCCCCCACUUGCCUGCUUCGACCACCCUGCCAAGGGCAGUGGGAGGUGGGGCUGAUUCCUGGACCAAGGGCCCUAUCGCUGGCAAGGAGAUGCCCGCCGAGGCGAUGGGGGUGGACUCAAAGGGCCGUGCUAUUGGCACGGUGGCAAUACCGGCCAACCCUCUGAAGAGGAAUCUUUCCGCGCCGGAACCAAAGGACCGAGAUCCCUGGAGCUAUGAGAACCGACAGUUCAUCACCAACCCCAGCAUCCAGGCUUCUAACCCCACUGCCAUUGCCUCACAGGCCCAGUGGGGCUACGCCGGAGGGUUGUCGGUUGGUCAGUUCACCUCUAACCCCGGCAGCUCUGCCCCUUGCCCCGGAGGCCGACUCUCCCUGGAGGGAUACCCUGUAGCCACCUACCCUGGUACGGGUUACCCAGGGGUGGGUGGGUUCACUUCCAGCUCCCCCACUGACCUCGGACCCAGUAACACACAGUCACAGCCCGGGUGGUCAGGGGGCUACUGGGGAACAGGCUACCAAGCUACGAGUCAACCGGAGACUGGCUACGUGUUGGCCAAUCAGGCUGGUCUUUCCUACCCCGGAGGUUUUUCUGGAAGUGAAGGGAGCUACCCCGGACAUCAGGUCUACCCAGGGGUAUUCUAUUCGGACACGGACUACCGUGGGCGUGCCUUCCCCGGGUCGGGUACUGGACUGGGUUCUGCUGGGGUGCCCCCCAGCAGCCACUACUCAACCAAACCACCGCUUCCGGCUGUUGGCUGCUGGGAAUUUGCCUCUCCAGCGGUGGGGAGUUGCCAGAGCUACUCCACCUGGACAGCAAAUGUCACCAGGGUUGCCAUGGAAACCAACACUGCUGGUAUUACUGUUGGGACCCCAACCCAGCUUGUCGGUCAAACCUGGGACCCCCGUGAGUGGAUGCCACCCCCUCAGUGAGCAUUGCCAGUGUGGAUGUCAAAGUGAGUGUUUGAACAGGGAAUGGAGGAUGUUGAGAAUGUCUAGAGGAAUGUGACCAGUUGAGAGGUGAAGAGUCGUCCCUGGACCUGGAAGGCAAUUGUUAUCUCACACAGGCACUGAAGAAAACAAUGUUAAAAUAAAGAGAUUGUAUUUGUUUACCAAUGUCUGAGUUGAAAUGAACACUUGGUUUUUCGUCCAUUUUCUAGUUCUGACAUGUAGCUAGUAGUGUUGGCCUUAUCGACCUCUGGAUGUUGUUCUGUGACCACAGAUUUUUUAUUUUUUUUAUUUUUUUACUUUUCAAGAGACUAAUUUUAAUUGCAAAACAAGUGUUGCUACAAAUUUAUAGACAGCAUUUAAAUAAACCAUAAACAAUUCAGUUAAUGAUAGAAAUCUUGAAUUUGUAUUAUUUUGAAAUAAAAUGUUUUCUAUA